GGGGAAUAUUGCACAAUGGGCGCAAGCCUGAUGCAGCCAUGCCGCGUGUAUGAAGAAGGCCUUCGGGUUGUAAAGUACUUUCAGCGGGGAGGAAGGUGUUGUGGUUAAUAACCGCAGCAAUUGACGUUACCAGCAGAAUAAGCACCGGCUAACUUCGUGCCAGCAGCCGCGGGUAAUACGAAGGGUGCAAGCGUUAAUCGGAAUUACUGGGCGUAAAGCGCACGUAGGCUGCUUUGUAAGUCAGGGGUGAAAUCCCACGGCUCAACCGUGGAACUGCCUUUGAUACUGCUUAGCUUGAAUCCGGGAGAGGGUGGCGGAAUUCCAGGUGUAGGAGUGAAAUCCGUAGAUAUCUGGAGGAACAUCAGUGGCGAAGGCGGCCACCUGGACCGGUAUUGACGCUCAGGUGCGAAAGCGUGGGGAGCGAACA
rnacentral:rRNA from 1 species